AAAAAAAGGGGGGGGAGGUUAUAAGAGACAGCAUUUGAGAAAUAAAUGAAACAAUCUAAAGAUUCCAAGAAAACAGUUUUAUUCUCUCAAUCUGCACUUUCAUUAAACUUGUUAUUGAUACAUUAAAAAACACACACACACCUGAUCUUUGUUUUGGCUCAAGAACUCGUCUUUGUUCCUUAAUACAGCUUCCGCCAAAAUGUUUAAAUUAACA
rnacentral:ribozyme from 13 species